UAUGGUACCUAUAAAAAUAUUUAAAUAUAAAUAUAAUAACACCAACUGAAGUUCAAAGCCUUAAUAUAUUAUACUUUUUCUUACAGUUUUGGUCGAAUGAAAAUGGAUAAAUAUAAUAUUUGUAGCUAGUUUUAGAUAUAGUUUAUCAUUAUUAUUAUGGUAUUUGCAAUUCUUGAAUCUAUAUAUUCAGAGUAUUUAGGGCCUCACUGGUCGCCUGAUCGAUUCCAAAGUCAAGCUGUCCGCCACUGCAGUCGCCUACCUGUCGUUUUUUGCGCCCGCCCAUUAACACCCCGCACGUCCUUCGUCCUGGGCACGUGCAUUAAAAAGUUUUAGCGCCAAAGUUGUCCGGCAAAAUCGGCGGGGAUGCGGGGUCCGGAGGCAAACCUAUACGAUCCAUGGCCAGCUGAACUCAACUGAACCAAACUGAACCGAGCCAACGGCCAACUAAGCCCGGGCAAACAGUGUUUUUGAGCCGGUGCAAGCCGGAAGUGGUAAUAAAGGGCCGUCAUGAGAAGGUGAGGAUGGGCGGUGUGGAAAGUGCUGGAGAAAGGAGCAGGAGAAAGGGGCAGGGAGUCGAUAGGCAAGCGCUUGCUAUGGACAAGCUGACGUAGUUUAAUUAUGUAGAAAUCGAGACACGCACUUUUGCAGGCGACGGCGGCGAACGAAAACCAGGAUGUGGCAUAUAUCUCCCCCUCUCUUUUUCACCAUACCCAUCUCCAUCUCUUUCGCUCUGUUUGCGUAUAGCGCGAUGCAAUCGACACGCCCACUUUGCGACACCCACGUUCAUAACUGGCGUACGCAAAAUUUGUGAGCUUUAUACUCUUUCUUGGGGCUUAUUGAGUUAUUAUACUUCCUUAAAUCUUAUAUCUUUUAUAGUUAAGAACACAGAUUCUGAUCAAUCAGUAGGCUGAAAAAUUAGGAGUUAUAUCCACUGCACUGAACUUUCGAUCAAAUAAUUAAGGUUCACAUUAUACAAAUAGGGUAUCUGAACAUUCGAGGUACCUUUCACGUUACCUAAUGACACAAAGUGCGGAGGAAGAAAUGGAGUCCGUUGCAGGAGCAACUGGGAUACUGUUACCUCGUAUACGAUUAUAAAUUCUGUUGCAUGUCAGUGGUUUUCAAAGUUGGAGCGAUUCAUGGCUUCGGUUCGCUUCGAGUCUGGCUCGGUGUGCUCUGCUAAAGCCUGGCAGGUGAAAAUAAUGGUGUGGAAUUGCAUUAGGCUGCUGCUGGGGCUGCAGCCCUACGCUUUCUCAUUGCCAGGAUGGAUGUGCGAAAUUUCCCUAGACUAAACACUUAAAGGUGGAAGGAAACUCAACUUUCAUCCGUGGGCCCAGGCAUAAAUUUUAAUAAAACGAACAGAAGCCAAGUCAGUGAAAGCUGUGCCGAGUCCUUUAUGUUACCUUUCUCCGAGACAGUCGUUUAUAUCAAUUAACCAGCGCGUCUGGCAUUUUUGCCACAGGACAACACUUGGUUGAGGUCGAGUUUAAAUGGAAAUGGGAGUGGGUCCUCGGGGUUUUAAAUGGAAGCGGACCUAAUUGAUUUAUUUAUGGAUUUACUUUCGUUGAACCUGGCAAAUCAAGUUGGAAAAUGUUCUAACCAAUUAAAUUGCCCUGCUCCUAUUGCACACAGAGCUUAAGAAACCUUCGGUUAAAAAUCCAUUGAAAUGGCACAAAAAAAGAACAAUUCUCGCAGCCAACGCAACGCAAUUUCACACUUUACCAGCUACAAAUUGCACCAUCAUAGCCGGGAAAAUGCCCCGCAUACCUUUCAGUGGCCACGAGCCUUGGCCAAGAUUUUAUAGAUGACGGCGACGGGCUUGGAAUUUUAUGAUUUAUGAAUUUUCACCCCCCCGACCACAGUCACAUUGGUGUUUGGUAUUGUGUGGAUUUUGUGGCUCUUUUCUAGCACCUCUACCCGAUUUUCGAUAUGUGUAUGUACGUACAUAUGCGUGUGUUGUGGGUUUUCCAAUCCCAUCUGACUGCUGUUGGAUGCACAAAACUCGACAAUUAUGCUGGCGUUUCUUUUCAUGGCUUUAAUCCCGUCAUAUUUGCGGCCGAUACUAAAUAUUCAUGUCGAUGCUGGUGAGGAAUUAUGUCAAUGAUGGUCGAGAUUUUAGAAACAGCAAUGAGGAAAUAUGUCACCAAAAUUGGUACUCGAUGCGGUGGUAUUUCAGAAAAUUUAUUUGUUUGCCGCUAUGUCAUUUUGAACUAUAACGAAAAUAUACUACAAAUAAAUAGUCCAAUUUAUUGGUUUUAUUUUUCAGAAAAUAAGAAUUUGGCGAACCUCGUUGAUGCUUGUGCAUGGAAAAUAUUCACGAUACACAAGGAUAAUGAUAUAUGUUGACUAUAAGAUUACUAACUUAACUUUCUAAAUGCAUUUGUCCUAUUCCCAGUGUAAGUUAUGCGACACAAAAGAAGUUGUGCACAACAAUCCGCAUAAUUCUUUGGCCUUUCUCCGUCACGGCUCACAUAAUUCUUAAGUGCAUUAGGCCCCUUUUGACUUCUGCUUGCACUUCAGCAAAUAAGAUCUGAAUCGAGCACAUCAUCCUACAUCCCCUAUAUCCUUCGUAAGCCCACUCCUGCGAUUCCCUUUCUUUGAAAUCCCGGAGUCUCUGUGUCUCUGUUGUUUCUCUUGCCAACAGGCGUUGCUCUGAAUAAAGUCAAUGUCAGACGACGGUCUUCUGUUCGCCAAGUGAAACUCAAUUACACACAUACUCCAACUUAGUAGUACGUGGAUUAUGGGUACUCGCACUCACACCCACACCUGUGAAUAAAACAUACUCAAAGAGUGCAACGAGCAGGGACGCAUAUAGUACAUCACUUUUAUUUAUUUACAUAUUCGUACACAAACAAAGCAGAAAAUAGACAUUUUUGUCUCUAGAUGGUUUCAAAUUGCAUACCCUUACUUUCAAGGUGAAAUGCGUUGCAAAUGACUUGGAAAAAUAAAUACUUAAAAUAUUUCAAAAAGUC
rnacentral:sRNA from 1 species